rnacentral:rRNA from 1 species
GAUGAACGCUGGCGGCGUGCCUAAUACAUGCAAGUCGAGCGAACGGACGAGAAGCUUGCUUCUCUGAUGUUAGCGGCGGACGGGUGAGUAACACGUGGAUAACCUACCUAUAAGACUGGGAUAACUUCGGGAAACCGGAGCUAAUACCGGAUAAUAUUUUGAACCGCAUGGUUCAAAAGUGAAAGACGGUCUUGCUGUCACUUAUAGAUGGAUCCGCGCUGCAUUAGCUAGUUGGUAAGGUAACGGCUUACCAAGGCAACGAUGCAUAGCCGACCUGAGAGGGUGAUCGGCCACACUGGAACUGAGACACGGUCCAGACUCCUACGGGAGGCAGCAGUAGGGAAUCUUCCGCAAUGGGCGAAAGCCUGACGGAGCAACGCCGCGUGAGUGAUGAAGGUCUUCGGAUCGUAAAACUCUGUUAUUAGGGAAGAACAUAUGUGUAAGUAACUGUGCACAUCUUGACGGUACCUAAUCAGAAAGCCACGGCUAACUACGUGCCAGCAGCCGCGGUAAUACGUAGGUGGCAAGCGUUAUCCGGAAUUAUUGGGCGUAAAGCGCGCGUAGGCGGUUUUUUAAGUCUGAUGUGAAAGCCCACGGCUCAACCGUGGAGGGUCAUUGGAAACUGGAAAACUUGAGUGCAGAAGAGGAAAGUGGAAUUCCAUGUGUAGCGGUGAAAUGCGCAGAGAUAUGGAGGAACACCAGUGGCGAAGGCAACUUUCUGGUCUGUAACUGACGCUGAUGUGCGAAAGCGUGGGGAUCAAACAGGAUUAGAUACCCUGGUAGUCCACGCCGUAGACGAUGAGUGCUAAGUGUUAGGGGGUUUCCGCCCCUUAGUGCUGCAGCUAACGCAUUAAGCACUCCGCCUGGGGAGUACGACCGCAAGGUUGAAACUCAAAGGAAUUGACGGGGACCCGCACAAGCGGUGGAGCAUGUGGUUUAAUUCGAAGCAACGCGAAGAACCUUACCAAAUCUUGACAUCCUUUGACAACUCUAGAGAUAGAGCCUUCCCCUUCGGGGGACAAAGUGACAGGUGGUGCAUGGUUGUCGUCAGCUCGUGUCGUGAGAUGUUGGGUUAAGUCCCGCAACGAGCGCAACCCUUAAGCUUAGUUGCCAUCAUUAAGUUGGGCACUCUAAGUUGACUGCCGGUGACAAGCCGGAGGAAGGUGGGGAUGACGUCAAAUCAUCAUGCCCCUUAUGAUUUGGGCUACACACGUGCUACAAUGGACAAUACAAAGGGCAGCGAAACCGCGAGGUCAAGCAAAUCCCAUAAAGUUGUUCUCAGUUCGGAUUGUAGUCUGCAACUCGACUACAUGAAGCUGGAAUCGCUAGUAAUCGUAGAUCAGCAUGCUACGGUGAAUACGUUCCCGGGUCU